rnacentral:rRNA from 1 species
UCGAACGGUAACAGGAAUUAGCUUGCAAUUUGCUGACGAGUGGCGCACGGGUGCGUAACGCGUAUACAAUCUACCUUUUGCUGAGGGAUAGCCCAGAGAAAUUUGGAUUAAUACCUCAAAGUAUUAUUGAGUGGCAUCAUUUAAUAAUUAAAGGUUACGGACAAAAGAUGAGUAUGCGUACCAUUAGUUGUUGGUAAGGUAACGGCUUACCAAGACUACGAUGGUUAGGGUCCUGAGAGGAGAUCCCCACACUGGUACUGAGACACGGACCAGACUCC